rnacentral:rRNA from 1 species
ACGAACGCUGGCGGCGUGCCUAAUACAUGCAAGUAGAACGCUGAAGAGAGGAGCUUGCUCUUCUUGGAUGAGUUGCGAACGGGUGAGUAACGCGUAGGUAACCUGCCUUGUAGCGGGGGAUAACUAUUGGAAACGAUAGCUAAUACCGCAUAACAAUGGAUGACACAUGUCAUUUAUUUGAAAGGGGCAAUUGUUCCACUACAAGAUGGACCUGCGUUGUAUUAGCUAGUAGGUGAGGUAAUGGCUCACCUAGGCGACGAUACAUAGCCGACCUGAGAGGGUGAUCGGCCACACUGGGACUGAGACACGGCCCAGACUCCUACGGGAGGCAGCAGUAGGGAAUCUUCGGCAAUGGGGGCAACCCUGACCGAGCAACGCCGCGUGAGUGAAGAAGGUUUUCGGAUCGUAAAGCUCUGUUGUAAGUCAAGAACGGGUGUGAGAGUGGAAAGUUCACACUGUGACGGUAGCUUACCAGAAAGGGACGGCUAACUACGUGCCAGCAGCCGCGGUAAUACGUAGGUCCCGAGCGUUGUCCGGAUUUAUUGGGCGUAAAGCGAGCGCAGGCGGUUUGAUAAGUCUGAAGUUAAAGGCUGUGGCUCAACCAUAGUUCGCUUUGGAAACUGUCAAACUUGAGUGCAGAAGGGGAGAGUGGAAUUCCAUGUGUAGCGGUGAAAUGCGUAGAUAUAUGGAGGAACACCGGUGGCGAAAGCGGCUCUCUGGUCUGUAACUGAUGCUGAGGCUCGAAAGCGUGGGGAGCGAACAGGAUUAGAUACCCUGGUAGUCCACGCCGUAAACGAUGAGUGCUAGGUGUUGGAUCCUUUCCGGGAUUCAGUGCCGCAGCUAACGCAUUAAGCACUCCGCCUGGGGAGUACGACCGCAAGGUUGAAACUCAAAGGAAUUGACGGGGGCCCGCACAAGCGGUGGAGCAUGUGGUUUAAUUCGAAGCAACGCGAAGAACCUUACCAGGUCUUGACAUCCCGAUGCUAUUUCUAGAGAUAGAAAGUUACUUCGGUACAUCGGUGACAGGUGGUGCAUGGUUGUCGUCAGCUCGUGUCGUGAGAUGUUGGGUUAAGUCCCGCAACGAGCGCAACCCCUAUUGUUAGUUGCCAUCAUUCAGUUGGGCACUCUAGCGAGACUGCCGGUAAUAAACCGGAGGAAGGUGGGGAUGACGUCAAAUCAUCAUGCCCCUUAUGACCUGGGCUACACACGUGCUACAAUGGUUGGUACAACGAGUUGCGAGUCGGUGACGGCGAGCUAAUCUCUUAAAGCCAAUCUCAGUUCGGAUUGUAGGCUGCAACUCGCCUACAUGAAGUCGGAAUCGCUAGUAAUCGCGGAUCAGCACGCCGCGGUGAAUACGUUCCCGGGCCUUGUACACACCGCCCGUCACACCACGAGAGUUUGUAACACCCGAAGUCGGUGAGGUAACCUUUUGGAGCCAGCCGCCUAAGGUGGGACAGAUGAUUGGGGUG